GACGAACGCUGGCGGCGUGCUUAACACAUGCAAGUCGAGCGGUAAGGCCUCUUCGGGGGUACCCGAGCGGCGAACGGGUGAGUAACACGUGGGUGACCUGCCCUCAGCUCUGGGAUAAGCCUGGGAAACUGGGUCUAAUACCUGAUAUGACCUUUCCUCGCAUGGGGUUUGGUGGAAAGUUUUUUCGGCUGGGGAUGGGCCCGCGGCCUAUCAGCUUGUUGGUUGGGUGAUGGCCUACCAAGGCGACGACGGGUAGCCGGCCUGAGAGGGCGACCGGCCACACUGGGACUGAGACACGGCCCAGACUCCUACGGGAGGCAGCAGUGGGGAAUAUUGCGCAAUGGGCGGAAGCCUGACGCAGCGACGCCGCGUGGGGGAUGACGGCCUUCGGGUUGUAAACCUCUUUCGACCCCGACGAAUUUGGACGGUAGGGGUAGAAGAAGCACCGGCCAACUACGUG
rnacentral:rRNA from 1 species